rnacentral:lncRNA from 1 species
ACUUCCCUGGGCCUGCUACCUGAGACCUGCUGCUUCCUCCCAGGCUUACUCUGCGGCUUCUUCCUGGACCCACCCGGUACCUGCACCUUCUCGUUGCCCAAGACCGGCCUCGCUGCUCCUGCCCUUCAGCCUCGGACCAUCAGAACGUCGUGCAACGGGACUACUGCCGGAUCCUGGUGCUCUCCUCCCUGCUGCUCGACUUGACUACACAUCUCACCUCAGCAUUAUGACCUGGUAUCCUUUCUACCAUCAAGAAACAACAUGAUGUUUAGCACCAGACCAACAUACAGCUUCUCUACAG